AUAAAAACAUUCGAUUAUAAUUUUAUAUUUGUUUGUGUACACUUUGCACCAUCUUUUGUUUAGAUCUUAAUUUUAUAGCGCGACACACAAUAAUUCUGUUAUUUCCGAUUUUUUAUCGUGUCAAAAUUUAACUUAUCAAUUUAUUUUAUUUGAUUUUUAAACACACAAUUUGCACGGCUAAUUGGGAGCACAAGAUAACGCACGUAAUUCUGAAAAAGAAUCCCGCCAUGCACAAUCCAAAUUAAGCCGCCGAAAGGCAAACUUCAAAAAGGCGCGCUCCGCUUGAGAAACGCACUUCAAAGUCGUUUGGCUUUUACUUUAGCAAUGGGGAAACGCGUCGUUUACGCAACUUCCUGCCGCACUGCGACGCGUUCUAACGGCUACUGAAUGGCCGUUCGGCGUUUCGCACGCCGAACAGCCAAACAGCGACGACGAAGAUGACGACAAAGACAACAGGCGGCAAUAUUUGAAGCAACAAGCACUUGUCCAGGAGCGGCGCGCGGGCUGUCGCUGAUAUUAAAAAUUGUCCAGCAUUUGCUUAGAAGCUGUCAAGGUUUUUGUUUUUUGAAAUCAUAGCGUUUGUUUGACGACGUGUUAGACGCACAAUUAAAAUGUCUGCCUAAGCAAA